UACGUAGGGUCCGAGCGUUGUCCGGAAUUACUGGGCGUAAAGAGCUCGUAGGUGGUUUGUCGCGUUGUCCGUGAAAACUCACAGCUUAACUGUGGGCGUGCGGGCGAUACGGGCAGACUGGAGUACUGCAGGGGAGACUGGAAUUCCUGGUGUAGCGGUGGAAUGCGCAGAUAUCAGGAGGAACACCGGUGGCGAAGGCGGGUCUCUGGGCCGAUACUGACGCUGAGGAGCGAAAGCGUGGGGAGCGAACAGG
rnacentral:rRNA from 1 species